rnacentral:rRNA from 1 species
GACGAACGCUGGCGGCGUGCUUAACACAUGCAAGUCGAACGGACCCUUUGGGGUUAGUGGCGAACGGGUGAGUAACACGUGGGUGAUCUGCCCUGCACUUUGGGAUAAGCCUGGGAAACUGGGUCUAAUACCGGAUAGGACUACGCACUGCAUGGUGUGUGGUGGAAAGCUUUUGCGGUGUGGGAUGGGCCCGCGGCCUAUCAGCUUGUUGGUGGGGUGAUGGCCUACCAAGGCGACGACGGGUAGCCGGCCUGAGAGGGUGACCGGCCACACUGGGACUGAGAUACGGCCCAGACUCCUACGGGAGGCAGCAGUGGGGAAUAUUGCACAAUGGGCGCAAGCCUGAUGCAGCGACGCCGCGUGAGGGAUGACGGCCUUCGGGUUGUAAACCUCUUUCGCCAGGGACGAAGCGCAAGUGACGGUACCUGGAGAAGAAGGACCGGCCAACUACGUGCCAGCAGCCGCGGUAAUACGUAGGGUCCGAGCGUUGUCCGGAAUUACUGGGCGUAAAGAGCUCGUANGUGGUUUGUCGCGUUGUUCGUGAAAACUCACAGCUUAACUGUGGGCGUGCGGGCGAUACGGGCAGACUGGAGUACUGCAGGGGAGACUGGAAUUCCUGGUGUAGCGGUGGAAUGCGCAGAUAUCAGGAGGAACACCGGUGGCGAAGGCGGGUCUCUGGGCAGUAACUGACGCUGAGGAGCGAAAGCGUGGGGAGCGAACAGGAUUAGAUACCCUGGUAGUCCACGCCGUAAACGGUGGGUACUAGGUGUGGGUUUCCUUCCUUGGGAUCCGUGCCGUAGCUAACGCAUUAAGUACCCCGCCUGGGGAGUACGGCCGCAAGGCUAAAACUCAAAGGAAUUGACGGGGGCCCGCACAAGCGGCGGAGCAUGUGGAUUAAUUCGAUGCAACGCGAAGAACCUUACCUGGGUUUGACAUGCACAGGACGCCGGCAGAGAUGUCGGUUCCCUUGUGGCCUGUGUGCAGGUGGUGCAUGGCUGUCGUCAGCUCGUGUCGUGAGAUGUUGGGUUAAGUCCCGCAACGAGCGCAACCCUUGUCUCAUGUUGCCAGCACGUUAUGGUGGGGACUCGUGAGAGACUGCCGGGGUCAACUCGGAGGAAGGUGGGGAUGACGUCAAGUCAUCAUGCCCCUUAUGUCCAGGGCUUCACACAUGCUACAAUGGCCGGUACAAAGGGCUGCGAUGCCGUGAGGUGGAGCGAAUCCUUUCAAAGCCGGUCUCAGUUCGGAUCGGGGUCUGCAACUCGACCCCGUGAAGUCGGAGUCGCUAGUAAUCGCAGAUCAGCAACGCUGCGGUGAAUACGUUCCCGGGCCU